rnacentral:lncRNA from 1 species
CGGCCAAUUUCACAGGAGAGAAAACAGCAGGUCCAAAUGCUAAUUCUUUGAGGGGAUUUGAUGUAAUCAAUACAAUUAAAUCUCAAUUGGAAAGUCUCUGCCCCAAAGUGGUCUCUUGUGCUGACAUCUUAACCGUUGCUGCUCGGGACUCUAUUGUUGCAGUAAGUCAAAGACCCUUCUAAUAAUCAACUAUUAUUGAGGCUCUGAAAAGAAUUAUCAUGCAUUUCUUCAAGUGCAAUUUUCCUUUAAAUUAUUAUAAGGAAAGGUUGUAUGAUGAUUUGUUUCCAAUGCUAAUAAUGAUUUCCCUAUAUAGUUAGUGAUCGUUAAAUCUCAAUUUGUGUUGUUUAAACAGUUGGGUGGACCUACCUAUACAGUGCCAUUGGGCAGAAGAGACUCCACCACAGCAAGCCUAAGUGCUGCCAAUUCCAACAUACCCGCUCCCACAUUGAAUCUUUCUGGCCUAAUUACUGCUUUCUCAAACAAAGGCUUCACUGCCAAGGAGCUAGUUGCCCUCUCAGGUUUGCUCAAAGUUGUAUCAUCUCUACUUAUUAUUUAGCGUUAAGAAUCAAGUCCAAUCUCUAAUUACUUUGUUUUUUUUUUUUUUGUUGUUUAAUAAUUAGGAUCUCAUACAAUUGGACAAGUUAGGUGCACAUCAUUCCGGGCACGUCUUUACAACGAAACAAACAUAAGCGAUUCAUUCGCAACAUCAUUGAAAUCAAGUUGUCCAACUAGGGGAGGCGAUAACAAUCUCUCCCCACUUGAUGUCACAAGUCCAACAUCUUUUGACAAUGCUUAUUUCAGGAAUUUGGUGAGCCAAAAGGGCCUGUUGCACUCUGACCAACAGCUCUUUAGUGGUGGGUCUACAGACUCUCAGGUGAAAGCUUACGUGAGCAAUCCUGCAACCUUCAGAGCAGACUUUGCCAAUGCUAUCAAAAAGAUGGGAAACCUUAGCCCUCUCACGGGCACCAAGGGUCAGAUUAGGACCGAUUGUAGAAAAGUCAACUAAGUUCUAGAACCAGGGGGCUGGCUUGUUUAUUUCCAAUUGUCUAUUUUGGAUUGGUUGCGUUUUUAUGAUGUGGGGUUUUCUUAGAAGAAUUAAUUCCAUUAAUAAAAGCAUUUUUCUUGAUGGCUUGUUUUUGUUAUAGCGUGUAACAUCAGGAAGGGUUGAGAUGCUGUAAUGCUUGUUUUUGUUAUAGUAAGUAUGCAACAUCAAAUAUGAUUGUGUAAUUUAAAAGUAGAGAGUACGUGGGAAUGAGAUUUUAUUUUAUUUUAUACUAUACGUAACUGUAUAAUUUGGGGACCAACAUAUUCUUCUUAAACUAUUGUGAAUAAAUGCAAAAGGCUAAAGAAAUAACACACAUAAUUCCUCGAAAAUCACCUUUGCUCUCUCUCUCUCUCUCUUAAUUUUAGCUUACAACACAUUGUUGGAGUUGCGCCCUAAAAUUCAGUUUUAUAUUAUUGGAUAUUAUAUAACAAUUUCAUAUUAAAUUAUUAAUAAAAGGGCAAGUUUUGUUUUUUUUUUUUUCCAUGAGUUUGGAUUAUGGUGAUAAUAUACUAGGAAUGAGUCCAUAGGAUUUAAGUAAUAGAAGCAAUGUCCUAAACAUGGUUAGGACAAGUAUACUUGUGUUCCAUAGUCAUUUAGUCCUCAAAUAAAGUUCCUAGUUUGACAAGUCCACUGGACAUUGACCAUCCAAAAAGACCGGUAUAUAUCACAUUAAUGUUAGCAUGAUCUCAAACCUUAGAGGCUUAAACAAGUUCACUGAAUACUAACUGCCCAAGAAGCCUAACAUAUGGAUGCUUAUUACGUGUCAAACAUUACAAAGCUUUUGGUUGUAGUAUGCAAAUAGUUCUUAGACCCGAUGCAUCAUAAAUAUCUUAUAUUUAUAGAUUAUGAACUUCGCUUUCACACCAAAGCCUCACUGCUUUGUAGGGCCCGAUAGUGUGAUAUUCGAGUUCACAUAUAUGAGUAUGGAGAUACAUGAAUGCACAACAAGGAAUCUAUCGCCUUCCGAUAAUUGUUGAAUAGAAUGAGAUAUGCUUCAAAGUCACUUGAAGAUCCAUCUCAAAAAUCUCUACCCAGAAUAUUUGUUGAUCAAGCUAUCAUGGCGAUCAAAGUUAUCUACAUGUGAUUUGACAUUAUCCCAUAUCACAUAAAUUUUGAGUGGGAUAUGGAUGAUUGAAGAACCAAACUGCAUUGUAACUACAAUCAAGGUUCAAGGAAGUAUCAUGCUUAGUUCGCGUAUACUUCUAUUAAUCUAGGUAGCCAUAAAAUGAUGUUAGGUGUCACUCAUGGUUUGUGGAAUUAAUUAAUUUCACUGACAGCUUUAGUUAGAACUAAGGGCUCACACACUUACGAUAAGUUCUAGUAAUGUUAUUAGAUGAUGAUAAGUUUUAGUAAUGUUAUUAGACUAUGAUAAGUUCAGGAUCUCCUGCACCAUGUUCGGCUACCUUGACUAUAUUUGUGAGAAUAUAGGUGUGCCAAAUCAAUAUCAAGCUAUAUGGACAUAGGCACUUGAAAAAGAUAAGUGUCUUGAUGGUAUAUGUUGUUCAGCCGUCAAAAUGCCGAACAAUGAUAUGCACCUGGGAAUAACCAAUUAUAGAACACUUCGCUCAGCUGUGAAGCUUAACGAAAUGACCUUGUUUGGCGAAAGAAUCAAAGACUCGUUGCCGGAUGAGACUUAGAAAGAUAAUCAACCGAGCUUGAAGUAAUGUUGAUCUAGUGCUAUUAAUAAAAACUGAAGAGUCACCGGUUGUCAACACAAUGUUGUCACUCCAAACUAAAGGUGUGAUGAGGAAGUUAGGAGAGUUAGUGAUUUCUUAGAGUAUGAAAAAAUUCGGGUAGAGCGAGGUUUUGUGCAAGAUGUUUGUAUGUUGAGUUGAAGGUACUCUUUAAGUUGUAAUACAUGUCCAAUUUGUGGAGCCAAAAAUAUGGAGGCGACACAUGGAUUCUUGGGUUAAAAAGAUAAAAUUACCCUUGAGGCACAACGGAACUCCUGCGCGCAAGCAGAGGACAAUCACGACUCAAUCAAGGUCAAAAGUGAUCAAAAUAGGUAUUUAUUCAAAACCCAUUUCAUCCAUCCUCAUCAAAUGGUCUCCACAAGGUAACCUUCAAUUAUUCAUUCAAACUAGGAUUAAUUACCUAAAUUACUUGAUUAAUUUCCUAAUUGAUUGCAAGAUAUUAUUUUGACAUAAUAUCUUGCAAUUGCACUCAAAAACCACCAAAUGUGGCCGGUUCCCAUCUCUCCAAAGGGGUCCGGCCACACCCCUAUAAAUACCACCUCAUUUCUCCAAAAACCUAAUUUCAACUCUCUUGCAAAAUUUCCGAAUUCUCUAAACACUUUUCCCUCAAAUUCUAACUUUGGCAUCAGAGGUUCUUCAGCCAAAGCCCUCUCAUUCAUCGUGGGUGCAUGAGGCUCUUGGCCUUGACCUAAGGUGUUAAUUGUUUUGCAGGUGCAUAUUUGUCCAAGAAAAAGAAGGCGGAAAUUUGCAUCCACAAAUUGGUGCUUUCAUUAAGAGUCUUGAUUUAAACGCUUGAAAUUCAAGGUUCUCCACUUUUUUGUUCAUUCGUAGAUUUUUCGUACGUUUUCAUUCAUAGAAUUUUUUUAUAGAAAUUCUUUAAAUAAACGUAAAAGAAAAGUACAAUGACAAGAAUCUAGGAAACCACGACGAACGGAACUUCCUAUAUUCAAGGAUUUGGGCCACGACGAUCCAUGAGGCUAAACAUGGCGACAAAUGGGGUGGCACCACCCCGGAGCACCACAGUAGCUGCCAUCGCCAACCUUGGCAAAGCCCAAACUCACAGUGCCAAGACAACAACCCAAAACUUGCAAGCCUAAGUCGUGCCAUUCCAACCCAAAAUUGGCAAGCCUACAACUCACGGUGAGCAGCGAGCCCAGGCAUCAAGGGCAACCUAGACCGCUGCCCCAACAAUGCAAGCCCAAUGCAUGGCCCAAGGCACACCAACCCAUGUUGCGCUGAAGGCAGCCGCGCCCCGCACCACUUCAAACCACACGAGCCUAGGCCCAAGAAAAGUAGGCCUACGCCACAAGGGAGUCUAGUUCGUCUCAGUGUAAAGAUGUCCAAGUAGUAGUUGUAGUUGCCAAGGAAGUAGCCCAGACUUUGCGGGCCCAAGUCUAACCCGAGCACAGUCCGCCCCAAGGCCAAGCCACGCCAUUCAUGCCCACACGGGCCCAAUCUCAAAGAGAGUUGGCCUAAGCCACGUCGAGAAAAUAUCAGUGUCCACGCAUGCUGCACGCGACCUUAUCCGCUCCGGCCACCCAACCAGCUUCCACGGUCUAAUAUAAGAUCUGGCCCUUCCUCGUGGCUUCCUAAGUAACCCAAAUCGAUCCAAGACCGAUUCAACCAUCCCGGCUUCAUAUUUCUGGGCCAACGGUUAAACCGAUGGCAUUUUCACCCAUUUCUCCGAGAAUUUGACAUUUCCUAACUCAAAUAUCGCGCCCAGAGUCUACCACACUUCCAUUACUCAAAGAGACACAUUCAUUCGAAACUCUUCCAACCCAAAUGAAGAACAACACUGGUCCUGACAAGUCAUAAAGUUGACAAAUGCCCUCGCACAACAAAUAACCUUGGUGAAUCAACUAUUGGAGCGCACCGAGAUGCAAACUGCCCCGGACAAGGUGUCCCGAAGUAGGACAAAGGCAGACGAAAAACCUCUCCAGUAACGUCCUGGCAAACAGCCACUCGACCAUCCACGUACUGAGCAUUCCGGGUGUGUACACUCCCGACUGGGCUCCCAAGAUAGCGUAUACUCUCGUCUUAACACGCGGAAGAGCGUGCACUCUCGAUCAGGCCCAUGGACAAGCAUACACUCACGAUUGGGGUCACACUCUGAUAAUCAACAUGAGCAACCUUCCAGACGAAGUGUUUAUUCAUGGCUAGGCCCGUAAAGAGCAUCAUCCACUUCACAUCGGAGUAGACAGCACGACGAACGAAGAGAAGCAGUCACUCAUUCUGACUCAAGUUCAACCGGCAGCCUGCAAAGAACUCACUCGCCUGUUAAAAAUGUACUAUAUGCACCGCAACCGCGAUAUAGACGAGUCGAACACAUGAAAUAGCAGCCUAGACUAGCAGGUCACAACUGGGGGUAGCCGAGAGCUCCACUACCCCCAAUAAAGGUAAAUUUAGGAAGAAGUAGAUAGACUUUUGAUCGAGCGAUUGCACGAUUUCUAACGCGAUGAGGUCACCGACGAGGCACUACAACAAGACAUGACCAACAUAAGCAGGUCACUCUUCACGGACGAGAUUAAGCAGGCAAAGCCUCCACCCGAGUUUAGCAUGCCACAUUUCACAUCUUUCAAAUGAGAUAGAGACCCGGAAAGACACUUAAAACAUUACUGAAGCGCAAUGAUCCUCUAUUGAAACAACGACGAUCUCAUGUGCAAGAUAUUCGCUACCACUCUACAAGGUAAGGCACAAAAUUGGUUCUACACCCUGCCGCCACAAUCUAUCCAGAGUUUCAACGAACUUUCUUUGGUUUUCAUCAAAGAAUAUUCAUCAUAUCGCUUGAUCAAGAAGAAGUCUAAUCACUUGUUUAACGUCAAGAAGAACCCAAAUGAGUCGUUUCGUGACUUUGUGAAAAGGUUCAAAGCAAAGAAACCAAAGAUAGUUGGAUGCAACGACUCGAUAACUAAAGCAGUCUUCCAAAAAGAACUUCCAGCAGACCACCCGUUGUUCGAAAAAUUAAUCAUAAAAAAAUAUCUAACUCUGGUAGACUCUUUAGGACGAGGCUCGCCGAUCCAGAUGCAAGAACUUGAAAGAGAACCUAACAUCACCUCCCUAUUAUCCAAACCGGAAGCAGCGAAGGACUUAUUCGCAUAUUUAACAGUAUCUGAAGCAACAAUAAGCUCUACCAUCAUACGAAAAUAGCUACAGGCACGACUACUUGCAUUCCACAGUUCAAAAACUUUCCUCGAUGCUACCAGAAAUUCAAAAGCUAAUUUUGGCGAUAAUUUUUGCAACCCGAAAGUUUAAGUUAUACCUUCAGACACACGUAGUCAUCCUCAUGACGCACUAUUUCCCCUAAUCUAGAUAUAUGACGAUAAAGGCGUAGACACUGGUGGAUGCCAAGCUUUUUUACAAACGCAACAACUCAGCCCAACAGGCGUGCCAAGGGCAGAUGAACACUAGAAUGACACACUUGGAAGCAAGUUUUGUCCUCGUCGCCCCAAAAUAUUCUACAUAUGAGCAACAUGUACUGGUAGUUGAACGCUACUUCCUGCUAUGGUGUCACACGGCUUCAGCCGAGCCUUGCUCCAUAAUUCAACUCUAGAAUGGCGCAAUACCGGUAGUUGAACAUCUCCUGCUGCAUGUAACAUGGCCCCAGCUUCACAGCUCCCUACUGCGCCUUCACGACGAAACAGAACGACCCAACGACGGCUUCACUGCUCCCUAUUGUGCCUUUCCACCUAGCCUAGAGGACGUAAUAGAGUGGCCCAAUGACACCUCGAAUGUAUCCAAGCACGCCCUAGCUACGCCUACUCCACCCGAUGGAAACUUCUAACAUUUGCAUGUCCACGACACAUCCAACUACAAAGGUUCAGGAGUAGGUGUGGUACUUGUCACCCCAGAUGGUUCGAUGCCCGAGCAGCCAAUCACUCUAGGUUUCAAAACAUCCAACAACGAAGCAGAAUACGAGGCCCUUCUAGCAGGCCUUUGAAUGGCAAAAGGCUUGGCAGUGAAAAAGCUUGCAAUUCAUUUCGAUUCCAGCUAAUUACUAGCCAAACUACUUUAGACGUUUCAGACUUAUACUCUCACUCAAGUUCCUCGAGCAGACAACGCUCACGUGGACGCACUAGCCGGCCAAAACUUCGCCCUCGACCACCAACUCAAACGCUCUAUUCUGGUGGAGUAUCUAGACAAGCCAACCAUAAAUGCAAAGUCAGCAAUCGAGGUGUCGCAGGUUAGUACAACUUCAAACUGGUAAGAUUCCAUUAUAGAUUACCUGGUUAAGGGCACAUUCCUCAUGGAAAGAUUGAAGUCUAGAAAGCUUCAAAUAAAGGCAGCACCCUACUACAUGUGGAACAACAUUCUCGUCAGAAGAUCUUAUGCUGGACCACAUCUCCGCUGCCUAGCACCUCCCGACGACCCAAAGGUUCUAAGCUUAAUCCACGAAGUCAUUUGUGGAAAUCACUCUGGAGGCCAAUUUUUAGCACAGAAAGCUCUAAACGCAUGCUACUAUUGGCUUACCAUGCACCAUGACGCUAAGGGAGUUAGUACAAAAGUGUGACUGCUGCCAAUGCUACAAGCCGGUACCAACACUGCCUACCAGCGAACUACACCCGUAGACGAGUCCUUGGUCGUUCAUGCAAUGGGUAAUCGGUUUAGUAGGGCCAAUGUCGCCCUCUACUGAGGGCAGAGGCAUGAUGAUCGUGGCAACCGAUUACUUCACCAAAUGGGUAGAAGUAGAGCCCAUGAUAACCACGACUCAGACGAACAUAAAGCAUUUCAUAUGGAGGAACAUCAUUUGCCGAUUUAGCAUCCAUCAAUCCAUUGUCACCAACAACGGCCCUCAGUUCGUGGGCAAAUAUAUGGCGAAAUUCUUCCAAAAGUAUGGCAUCAAGCAACACAUGUCCACGCCGAGAUAUCUUCAAGGAAAUAGGUAGGCUGAAGCAUCCAACAAGACGAUCCUCGACAGCCUCAAGAAAUUCCUUUUUGACAAGAAGGGAAAGUGGCCAGAUGAACUUCACAGAUAUCUAUGGACAUAUCGCACGACCAAACAAUAAGCCACCGGUGAGACUCUUUUCCUUUUGGCAUUUGGUUCAGAAGCAAUCAUUCAUUUUGAUGUCAUCAUGCUAAGUAUUAGCACUCUACUGCCAAGCAUUGAGCAUAACAGUAAGGAGAUGGCCACAAGCUUAGAUCUGGCAAAGGAGAAGUGCAAGCAUACCAUCACCAGCAUCAUAGCCUACCAGUAGCAGCUCUUCUCUAGCUACAACAAAAGGGCCAAGAUCAGGCAGUUUCAACCCGGAGAUCCAAAAAGAUUGAUCCCAUCUAGAAAGGUUCAUACAAGAUCAGCAAAGUAUGUGGCAAGGGUAGUUACACCCUUACCACCAUGAACAACAAAGAGAUUGAAAAGCAUUAGAACGCCUAUAAUCAAAGGAAGUACCAUGUGUAACCUCCAGCCACAUCAAAUCCCGAAGACUCAAGCAGCUCGAUGGGCACCACUUCGCAAGCCGAUGACUAUCCAAUUAUUAUGCAGUUCCUAUCUUAUAGCUAUGUUCUCAUUCGUUUCACUCGUUUUUUAAUGAAGAAUUCAAAAGUAACCUACAACCUGGCUCGGCUGCAUGCUUACAACAACUGAUCACUCCUGCACUUCAAAACAAGACCGCACCCUUUUUAGGGACUCAUCGCAAGAAUUGCACUUCCUAAACGACCAACCAUGUUCUCCAGUGCAAAAGGGUAAACCAAUUCCCCGACACUUAUCUAGGUCUGCUCUCCAGUGCGAUAGGGUAAACCAAUGCCCCGACACCCACAUAGGUCUGCUCUCCAAGGCGGGAAGAUAAACUUACACUCUGAAUAUCUAGAAGUGGAUAAGCCGGGCUGCCCUGGUAUAACCAAAUGCAUGAUGGCUUGCAUUGAGAUUCCUAGAAGCAGCCAAAAUGACCUUUUUCAAGGCUUAAAUAACUGAAGAAUUUUGGGUCUCUUGGCCUAAUUCGUAGAAAACUGGGCCUCAGAGACGAAUGAGGCACAUUACGCAGUACACCCAUAGACAGCUACCCUAGAACCCUAAAGCUACUACCGAGUGUACUAACAUAGCUUACAGUUUCCAAAAGAUUGCCCACGGCUUGCCCUUCGAGCAGUAAGCCGUUCUAAACUUAUACAACCGCACGUUUCUAUGAGAGGUUAAACAAGUUAGCAUGCAUAUACGAAGCUUUAUCCAUUUCCAACAUGCUACGCAUUCGAUGGGCUUCAUUUCUACCAAAACGCGGAACAACCUACACCAAGUCCUAAAGUGUUGUGAUACUUGCUACACAACCAACGAAAUUGGAGAAAGACAAGGUUAACAGCCUAAGGUUACGCGAACUUGUCUGCUUCUGUCAGUAAGGUGUCCGGCUGCCGACCCAAUGGCUAACAACUUUGCAAAGUUCUACACCAACACAUAUGGCUGCACAGGCUACGCGGGUUUGUCUGCUUAUUGAAAAGUAGCAUGCAUGCCACUGGCCAAGGUUGUGCAUAAACAAAAUAAGUGAAGAUGAAGAAAAGCGAAGGAAGCAAGUUUAUUAAAUUUUUUAGCAAAAUAGAUAAACAAGUAGCAAAGGCCGAAGGAGUUCGAGAAAAACAAAAGCAAUGAGGAAAACAAAGAAAAUCCUAAAGGCUGCCUAGAAGACUACCCUUUAACAGCUUGGACAUUCCACGACUCCUCGGCCACCACACCUUCAGCAACAGCAUCAUCCGGUGCUUCAACCCCGGCUGCUCCAACUUAGGCAUCAACCUCUCUAACUACUUCACCAAUGAUGGCCUCAAAAGUAAAGGCAAGCAAGUAUUCUGGAGAAAUAGAGAAGGUGUCGAAGUUUUUCCCAAAAAACUUGAAGUCAGACGACAUAUCAAAUAGAUGAUCUGCAUAACCCAGCUUGUAGAAAUCUGUCUGACUCUAAACAAGCGAAGCCUCGAGCCCAGGCUUCUUAUCUUUCAGCUGCUCGUUCUCCUCAAGUAGACCAACACGGAAGUCAUCCACUUCUUUCUUCAAACUUUCGUUGAUCUUCAGCGCACCUUUGAGUUCCAACACUUGAAGUUCAAGCCUAUCAACGACCUUCUUGAAGUGGAUCACUCAGUUAUAAGCAGCAAUCAAAUCUUUAUCAUUUGCAUAAGCAACGGAACGAAGCUAAAAAACUGCACGCUCAAGAUGUUGAAUCUGAGGUAUGUAACAUCCGAUCUUUUUCUCUGCACUUUCAUACUUCAUUUGGAUCUCAUCGAGCCUAGUAUUCAAGUCAACGAUCUCUUAGUGAGCUGUCUCAAGCUGCAGAGAAGUAGGGGUAGAGAUAUUAGACCCCUUUAAAGCGACGAGCUCAGAUACCAACCUCUUGAUCUUCUCGGCAUAAGAAUAAGUUUCGGCUACCACAACAUUUGCCACCUCUUUGGCAGCCUUCAUAUCCUCUUAGUCAAGGAGCAUAGACUCGGCUACCAGAAUAGCCAUCUUCUGCAUCAUUGGAAGUAGAACAGUCUUCCUAUACUCGGUCGUAUACUUUGUAAAGGAACUUAGGCAAACAGCCUUUCUAACUUCAUUGACAAACUUGGCACAAGCGUCCAUGUUUUCAAGCAAAUCUGGUUUCAAAAGUGCACAGAUCUCAGCAGCUUCCCCAGAAACAGGCUUGGUGGAUUUCUUACAGCUACCCACGCGAGUAGUCUCCUCAUUCCCAGCAGGCAAAUUAGUCUUAGCAGCAGGGGGAGUGGGCUUUGGCGCCAUUUUAAUAGCAAAGUCCACCUUAUCGCCUCUUCAUAGUAGCAAGUCUCUAAAGAUAAACCAGACUUAGCCCUCGACGGACGUUUUUCGGCAUUGGGGGCAUGAUGGAACUUCUACGCUGAGCAAUCAUAUUAGUAAUUGUACUAGCCACAUUUGGCACUGCAAGCGUCACUGGCUCAGAUCUAGCAGCCUUAUCUUGCUUCCCCUUGGAAGAAGUCAAGUCAACCAUAAGCUUAUCAGCAGCAAGCGGACUCUCACGAGCAGUGGAGGAAGUCUUUUGCUUUUCUUGAGCAGGUGGGGAAGAUCUUUUUUUUUUCCACCUUCAUUCGUCCAUAACAGCAAUCGGAUAAGCCAAUGCAUCCGCCUUGAUCCUCUUCAUCUAUUCUCUCGAGAACAGCCCACAUUUCUCUUGGCAAAGAGGACUAAGCAGCCAACGUCAUUCACGAUACUCGGUAGGGGAACUCAAUCCAUGAUGGUUUUUCCUUUAUUUGUUUUUCUCUCAGACCAGUAGGCAGGAGGCCUGCAUGCUCAAUAUUCCAGCAGCACUUGAAGCACGCGACCUCCUCAUUUCUCUCAAUCGCUAGCCUAGCCCACAUUAGGUCCAAAUGCCCAAAAGACAUGAGCCAUGCCACUCACAUAGCAAUGCGCCAAAGUGCCUCAAUCCGUGGCCCCAACCACAUAGCUACCUUGGCUUUAGCCAAGCCGAGUAGCCCAAACAGUGGUCCCUACCAUAACAUCUCGUCAACCCAUGCCGAGCUAACUCUUAGCCCCUGCCAGCCGACAUGCUUCACCACCCUGACAGCUGCCCUGCGACAACACUAUCUAAGAAGAAGACAAGGAAAAUUAAUUUUUUUUAUCUCAGUGCGGUGCGGAGAAAACAAAGAAAGCAACGAAAGACGAUCAUUUGCAUGGGCAAGUGUAGAAGAUUGCUAGGGGAAGGGGAACAAAUAUCCUCUAGCUUUCUUUCUCUUGUAGGGUGGAAUAAAUUGCUUUCUGGAGUUGAUUUAAUCAUCUACUUAAGGUAGACUUAAAUAGACUUUGGAAGUGAUUUAUUUCCUUUUCCUAGAAUGAUCUAAUUUCCUAUUAAAGAGGGAAUCUACAUCAAAAUAGGAAACAAUCCUAUGUUUCCUAAUGUAAGAAGAUCUUUAAACUUGCUGCCCUUUCUUGCAAGCAACCCAACAAGUGUGAGGGAAUUCGUGAAGCCAAAAAUAAUCGAGAAAAAAUAUAGAGGCGACACAUGGAUUUUUGGGUGAAAAGGACAAAAUUACCCUUGAGGCACACCGGAACUCCUACCCGCAAGCAGAGGACAAUCACGACUCAAUCAAGGUCAAAAGUGAUCAAAAUAGGUAUUUAUUCAAAACCCAUUUCAUCAAUCCUCAUCAAAUCCUCCCCACAAGGUAACCUUCAAUUAUUCAUUCAAAAUAGGAUUAAUUACCUAAAUUAAUUGAUUAAUUUCCUAAUUGAUUGCAAGAUAUUAUUUUGACAUAAUAUCUUGCAAUUACACCCAAACACCACCAAAUGUGGCUGGUUCCCAUCUCUCCAAAGCGGGCUGAUAAGCUCAUAUUUAUAUAUAUUUUACAUCAAAUUCACUUGUCUUUUCUUAGUUAGUUCCUUAUAUUUUUGAGCUAUUUACUUUGUUUUUGUGUUUUGUGGGACUUGUCAAGCAAAGAAAAAAAAAUAGCACAAGUGGGAUUUUAAGUGACAAAUUCGUCAAAACUGCAUGUGCAGAUCAGCUGACUUUGGAAGCAAGUUGUGAACAGCUCAGAAUGAAUUAGGGAAUCAACCUUAUAUGCUUGGAAAGCUACGGAUGUCUAUUUGUUGGAUAAUUUCACGGAUUGUUAAUAUCAUUUGUCUAAAAAAAGUUAUGGCCGUUUUAAUACUGAAAGGUUACCAAGAGGCUGAGUAGUUUGUAUCUACAAUGGAAGCAAUAAACCCAAUAAAUCUUGCAGCCAAAACUGAUGCAGCCAAGAACAAGUCAGCUGACACUUAUUCAAAUAUAAAAGGGAAUGGAAUUAAAGAUGAGGAUUAAGAGGGAGUAAUUGGCAUAAGGGCUACCCAAAGAGUUACAAUUGUUUUACCAUUUCCUCUCACUUAUUAUCAUCACUAAAUGGCUAUUAGUGGGUGAGUUAAGGAGAAGAAAAUGAUGCAACAAGAAUUGGUUUAAAAGUAGCGUUGGGGAAGGAAGGAAAGUGAGGAGGAGGCCUCAAUCGAUUUCUUUCGGUUCUAUCUUCUCAAAAUCAUGUCUAUCUUUUGUUUUAACUUAAGGAUUGUGUGUAACUAAAUUUUUAGUAGUUAGGGGCUGUUUUGAAGGCCCGAAUAUGAUUGCAAGUUUGUUAUGACAUUUCGUUUGAAUUACUUUUAUGAAUGGAUGAAAAUUGGUUCACUACUUGUCUCAUUGAUGAAUUCUUUAUUUGUUUUAUAUGGAUGCAUACGUAGUAAACAUAUCUAGGAUUCUAAUGCUAUGAAUAUGUGUGUGCCUGCCCUUGUCGAAUAAGGACCUACAUAUGUUCUAGAGUAGUACUUCUUAAUUGCGAUUAACAUGUGAACCAAUUUCUAGGAUAAGUAAGACAAUGACAGUGAAGGAUUAUUUUGUGAAAACAUGUUCAUUUAAGCAACAUCUAUUAAGCAUGCAAUUAACAAUUAAAGGCGGAAUCAUGCUUGCAUGCACUUAAUAACAAAACAUUAACCAAGAAAUUCAAAGCCUAGUAGAUUGGUGAACCAAAACUCAACACAAAACAAAGUGAGUUGAAAUUGUACCUUUGUAGAUUCCUCUUUGCAUAAGCAAAGGCUAAUCACCCAAAGAGAGGGCCUUCAUUCCUUGCAUCUAAAAUCUAUGGAUUUGGAUGGAUGAAAAGGUUUCUCAAGUUCCCAAAAUUGAGAACCUCUAAGUCUCCACACCAAGUAGAGAUUGGAGAAGAAAAUGAGUGACUUUGGAGUAGUAGUAUGGCUAGAUACACCCUCCAAGGGGCCGGCCUCUUUAGAGAGAAAUGGAGAGACAUGUUCUCUCCAAUUUUCUCCAAAACAAACCCUAAAUGAAUUUUGGCUAUAAAGUCAUAUUUAUACCUUAAUUCAUUGGAGUGGCAAACUUGUAAAUAAGUCCAAAACCCACUCCAAAACUAUAUGGCCGGCCAUUGGGAUAUUAUUGGGCUAUUGGGCCCUUGUGAAUCUUUAUUCAUUAAGUUGUCAUGCAACUUAAGUCAAUGGGCUUGACGUUCGAAGCCCAUUGGGCCUUAAGGUCCAAAACUAUCCCGAGGUCUUUAACGAACUUAUUCGUUUAAUUAAUUAACAUAUUAAUUAAUCCUUGCCAUAAAUAAUUAAACCAUUUAAUUAUUCUUACUCAUCUCCAUUGUUUCUUCAAUCUCCACCUUACACGGUGUACGAUCCAUUAGGUUCCUUUUAGCGAGGCAGUGGGCGAUUCAAACUCUUUCAAAUCGAUUGUGAAUUGAAACUUACUUUCAAUCUCCCUUUAGUGAUUAUACACGUUUAGGGCUUCCACAAACCAAGAGUGACACCUAGCAGCAUAUCAUGGUUACCCAAGCUAAUCAGAAGAGGUAGAGAACCUAUUCAGUUUAGGAUUACAAAUGCAAUACGGUCUUUCUCUAAUACAAUACUCUUGACCACAUUGUUUGGUUUGAUAGUUUAUUCAUGUCUACUAUCCAAUGUGAUUCGUGUGCUUAUAUGAUUACCUUGAAUGUGAUUUAGAACGACUUUUCUAAAUCUCAUUCAUACUCUGGCCAGAGGUUCUAAAUCAUAUCAUAGAGUAUUCUCCCUCAAACGGUUUGAAGGUUAGAGAUCCCUUGUUGCGCAUUCACUUGUCUCCAUGGCUAAGUGGCUUAACCCCAACGAUGUCGUGGAGACCCCGAUGGGGUGACUUUGACAUAAUCAAAGAUCAAGAACUUAACCACAAGAUAACUGUGAUGCCUCAAGUCAAAUGACUACUUUGCAUUAUCCCAACCAUGAGUUCUCAUGUGACAUGAAUAUGAGAACUCUUCGUUGAUCGUGUUCAGUGAACUCAUUCUCUAUUGAGCACCUACGUACUUGUCUUGAUGUCACACACACCAAUGACUGAGACUAGUCACUCUCCCUGAGAGAAUACACAGCACGUACUGAUCUUAACGGACUGUCAAUGCCCAAUUGGCAAUCCUAUGAUCAGGAACGUUUAGGAUGUGUCUAUGAAAGAAUGGUCUCAUGAAUCUAACUUCUUUAGAUCGCAUUCUCCCAAUCACAUAUUCCUUGGACUUAUCGUUUAAGCAUAUAACAUUUAUAUGAGACGGCUCAAACAAUAAUAUUUGCCCUUGAUAUUAAACUAGAUUAGUUUAACAUGUGAAAUGUCCGUAAAGUAUCAUCAUAUGAUUGGUUUUAAGGCACAUUUCCAACAGACAGUACUUACGAUGCCUUGUGAUGACUCAAACUCUUUUCGUUCUUAAUGAUUUCUACUUGUUAAAUCUAUGAACACGCCAUUCUAGAUUGCAUGCUAGGGACUAAGUUAAGUUGAAAACGCCAUUCUCUUAACAUACUACACAAGAAAGAGUAAUAGGUUGAGUUCUAACAUUGAGCCAACUUGAGCAUCUUCAUCAGGAAAUAAAAGGAAUUUGAAUGAAACAUAACAUGUUCGCAUGAUUAUUUGGUGGUGGAUAGCAAUUCCCCUAACACAUUUUUCUUAAUUUGUGAACUAUUUAAAAUUUGUUUCUGUCCUGUUUUUGUUCAAUUUAAUUUAAACAAAAAAUCAACUCCAAAAAUCCCAAAAUUUUUUGUGAGUGUAGCUCUGUGUGUCUAGUGUUGUCAUAUAAAAUUUCGUAGACUUUAGAUAAGCGUAAGCCAGUCUAAUAAUUAUUUCCGUGGCUGGUCAAUAUGGACAGCAGCCUAGUUUUUGUGACGUUUUAAGUAGUUAGAUAAAACAAUCUUCUGCGGGAAAGACCCUUAUUUUCAUAUGCUACAAUUGACAAAUCUUAGCUUUAAUAAGGAAAAUCAAUAGGACAUUUGUGUGCUACUUUGUGGUAUGCUUUUAAUCCUAUCAAAUUUUUUGCGUCGUGUCGCCGGGGAUUGUUAUUUCUAAUUACUUAUUUCUCUAUUGUUUUCUUUUCUUGUCUAAUUAGUGUUUUUUUUUUUUAUGUCAGGUACUCUUCGUAGUAUAUGCAUACUCGAAGGUCCAAGAACCAGCCCCCUUUGGAUGAUUACUCUCGGAAAGUUUGAUCAUGUCCACCCUUGAAGUUGAUUGUAAAAUUGGAGUUUGGGGGUCAUCGCUUGAUUUUAAUGGAAAUUAGGGAAGUUUUCAGUCCAAAUGCUUUAUUUUGUUUCUUACUAUUUUAUUUUAUUUUUAUUUUAUGCAUUAUUGUGUUUUCUAACAUUGGGGACAAUGUCUAGUGUAGGUUUGGGGGUAAGGAUUGAAAAACUGACGAAAUUGAAAAUUUUCAUACCUUCGACUAAGAACUAGUUUGAUUUGUUUCCGUGUUGUUUCUUUUUGUUUUCUUAAUUAGUUCUGUUUACUCUAAAAAAUAAUGUAAAAAAUUCAAAAGAUUUGAAAAUUCAAAAAAUAUUGUCUUGUUUUAUUUAUUGUUUUGAAUUAGAUUUUUAUUAGUUUCCUGACCCAAUGAUAUAAUUGGAUUAAAUUUGAACCACGGUGAUCAAGAACUUAGUAAGCAUGUGUUGUGUGAAAUUCCUUAUUCUCUUGUUAGCCUUGUACAUGUUUAAUCAUCUUUGAAAAACCAAAUCCACAUAGCCUUGUUGAUGUGAAACUAAAGCAUGACUUAAAGCUUCAUAUGUGAAUAUAGUGACCAUAUACAUCCUAUGUGAGUUUUUGAGCCUAUUGAAAGUGUGCAUUUUUCAUACACUCAUAUUCUUUCAUGUGUGAUGAACUUAUGUGACUUAUAUCUCUAGAACUUACGUAACGAUCUUUCGAAAUGUUUGUCAUUUGAUUGCAUGAACUUGAAAAAGAUAGAGGCAUUAGGUUUAUCACCAUGGCCCAAAUAAGCAUGUUUCCUAAAGAGAAAUGAUAUCAUUAGAUUGCCAAUUUGAGUCGUAUAUGUUGAGCCUUUUAUUUCUUAUUACUAGAUAUGUCUACCCUUAUACCUUAAACAUUUUUCCUUACCCUUACCAAGCUGGCUAGUGAGCAAUGUGAGAUUGUCUUAUGAGAAAUGUUUGUGAAGUACUUUGAAGGAGUUUGGAAAAAGAAUAAGUGUGUGGGUAUUUCAUGUUUGUAUUUAGUUAUGUGCAAAUUCGUUCAAAAAAAAAGGAAAAGAAAAAAAAAACAAAAUUGUAUACAAAGCAAAUAAAAAGUUUUUUUUUCUAAGUUUCAAUAUAGGGGUGUGGUUGGAGGUAUUAGCAGAGUGGUUGGAGAGAUUGAGUUCUUAUAAAUCUCAACAAGAGAAUUGCUUGCAAUGUAGCUUGGAACUUGUGUUUACCUAUCCUUUCUUUUCUAUAACCCUCUUCCUAAGCCUCAUUACAUCCAAUAAAAGUCCUCUUGAUUUAAGUUUUGCAAUUAUGAUUGUGGAGAUGAGAUCUUUAUGCAAGCUUAUGGUAGAUCUUUCACAUUUGAUUCUUUGAGCGAAAUAUGUUAAACUAAAUAUAUGUGUGAUUGAGUGUAUGUCCCGUGAGAAGGUCACUAGUUUGUGUGUGGUGUUUUAAAAAAAAAAAAACUUGAAAUUGCAUUAGCAUGGCUAUUACACACACUGUACUUCAUGGAUGAUUAAAAGGUUACUGCUAACAUUUGAAUAAGGAAGAUGAAUUUGGAUUAGCUUGUUUGGUGCUAGCUAAGGUUCUUGAUGAUUUGUUUUCUUGAAUGAAAUUCUAUGAGGGUCACAAAGGGGGAAGCUAAUGUUUUUCAUAUUUUCUUUGUUUUGCUCGAGGACUAGCAGGGGCCGGCCACACUCCUAUAAAUAUCACCUCAUUUCUCCAAAAACCUAAUUUCAAAUCUCUUGCAAAAUUCUCCAAAUUCUUUAAACACUUUUCCCUCAAAUUCUAACUUUGGCAUUGGAGGUUCUUCCCCCCCCCCUUCCCCCAAAUUUAUCGUGGGCGUGUGACGCUCUUGGCCUUAACCUAAGAUGUUAAUUGUUUUGCAGAUGUAUUUUUGUCCAAGAAGAAGGCGGAAAUUUACAUCCACACUAUUUAUAAGACUAAUGUGUUGUAUAUUCCAGUCGAGAUCACCAAUUACCACAAAUAAUAAUAAACCCAUGGUGAUGAUUAUCUUCAUUCAAACGUUACGGCUCUGGCACAUCAAGCUUAAUUUAUCCACAAAAUAUUCACUUAGCCUGUUAUUUGGCAGUUUGGUGUUGCUAAUAAUAAUCCCAUGCAUGCAAAAUAUCCAAAGCAAGGCCCAAAACUACAAAUGUCUGAUGCAGAGAACGUGUGUGAUUGAUAAUCCUUUCAUAAUUGAACUCUAGGAAAUAAAUUCCAACAAUUUUAUGGAAUUAUCUCAUGCCAUCCUUUUCCCAUCGUUUGUACAUAACAUUAAUCCUUAACUGGACUACAACAUAGUGAUAUAUGACUUCCUCCUCCGCAAGUCACUAUGGGCGUAUUUGUUUGGCCUCGUUAAAUUUUCACUGGACUGGCUAGGAUUAUUAGCCAUUGAAAUCCCAUGUUUGUGAGCAGCGGGGACUAGAUUUCAUGAGACUAAGGGGACUCGCCUAGACUAAACACCUCACUAGGGAAGACCCCUUGAAAUUGGGUGGAUUGCUAAGACCAGCACCGCUUCACCCCUUCGCUAGUUCUCCGCUUCGCCCCUCCCGACUCCUAUAUUUUUCCCUAGAAAAUUCCUCUUCCAGUGAAACCACAAUGGAUCUGUGGUCAAAAACUCAUUUCCCAGAAACCUCCUCUUCCCAAAAAACUCCUUUUCUCGUAGAAACUCAUUCUCUGAGAAACUCAUUUCGCGGAAUUCUGCAAUCUCUCCCUUUUCAAAACCAUACCUAACUCCCCAAAUAUGAACCCAGAAAAUGCAAAAAAUCCAGAAACCCAGAAACCGAAACUAGAUUCAACCCCCUAUCUCCCACUUUUUAGCCCAUCACACAUGCACCCCGCUCUGACUCCUAAAUUUUCAAUCUCUUUCUUACUCUUUGGUUUGAUUUUAAGAUUUACGAUUUUGUGAGAUGAGGUGAAGAGGCAAAGAGAGAGAUUUGCAAAUAUCUGGGUCUCUUUUUCUAAAAAGUACCGCAUAUUACUUUUGGGUGAAAAUUAAUAGGAAAACUAAUGAAAAUAGCUUGAAAACUUUAAGUUUUAACGAUAAGGACAAAAUAAAGGGUAAAGUGAAUAGUACCAGAAUUGACUUUUUAGUGUUAAAAUGUGAUUUUUCGUUAAAGUUCCUAAAAUUAAUUAGGCUUUUAAAAAUUAAAUAUAUAAAGUAAUAUUUUGUAAUAUAAUAUUUGUUUUAUUUCAAAGGAAAAAGUAAAUUAAAAAUAAUAAAAAAAUAAUUUGGAUCCUAAAGAUAUUUUAGUCCGACGCUAAACCAAACACUUCUCUAUUCUUAUCCAGCUCAGUCCAGCUUAGUCCUGAAAGCUAGUCUGGUCCAAGAUAAUCCAGUACAAUAGAAGAACCCUAUGAGGCCAAAGGUUGGUCUUAGAAUAAUGAUAAUUAUCUUGCAGUUCAACUAAUUAUAUGAUUGCCACUUAGUACUACAGUUGGUAUUCCUCUUCACUUGUAAGUAAGAGGUCUUAAAUAUAAAAGUAUUCCUACAAAUGUAGGACUCUUUGUAGGAAUACAAGAGAGAAUGAGAAAAAUGCCAUUGUGGAAUUGUUUUUCUUUCUUUUCCUACCCUUUGGGCCUUGGCAACUGGUACAUUUUUGUUUUUUUGGGACUAAGGAUUUGGAUUCGGCCAAGGCAAUGGUCUCAUUGGGUCGUUGGUUCACUCACUCUAUGAGGUAAUAUUUUGUGUCAACCUGUUUGGACCCAAAAUUACACCAUCGGCCCGAGUAAUCGAGACCGUUGAGUAGGCAUACCUCCACACUGUCGAUGGAAAAGUGGAGAUAAUUUUAUUAAGGUUAAAAGAUAACAUUAUGGUUUCUUUUAUCAUGAUUAUCUUUUAAUAAUGAUUUAUCUUGACAUUUUCUUAUGGAAAUAUAUAUCUCCAAGCUGGAAACAGGUAGCACAAUUCAAAUUGAUGUGGAUGUGGAUAUGUGGUUUGGAUCAAUUUUGGUUGACAGAUAUGCACGGCAUCAAAUAAUGAAGCAUGCAGGUUAGGAUAUUAUCCAUUUAAAAUAUGGUGAUAAUUAAAAAUGAACAUCAGCAUUCAGGAUGCAUGCGACAUUUUUGGUAAAAGAUGAUGGCUUAGGGUGAUGAUGAGAGCCUAGGAAAGCUAGGUUUUUUUGGUGAUGUGAUGAUGUGGUAGGAAACCUAGGUAGGCUAGGCCUUUUUGCAUGGUGAUGGGUGUUGUCAAAUGAGUUUAAAGUGAUAAGAAUUGAUGAUGGAAUCACAGUAUGUGUGUCGUGUGAAAGGGUUUCAAUGGGACAUCUGUUGCUCCUCUGGUAUAAGUCUACAUGCAUAAGGAGACUAAGAAGAUUUUUGCCGAAAUAUAUUAAAGAUAAUAUUAGUUGUUUUGAUAUUGUUUUUGGAGUAUAGUCGGGAAAUGACUCCUUUGGAUUGGUGGUCAAGGAAACUUGCUAUAAAUACAAAGCGGCAAACAACGAAAAGAGGCUCUCCGUUUCAACACACAAAAUGCCCUGCGCAAACCCUCGCUCUACGCGAAACCUCUCAACAACCUUGGGAUUUUUAGUUUCAUUUUCGCCAACACAUCUUCAGUUUAGAUAAACAUCGCUACGAAGGCAACCGGCGAACAUCUUCAGUUUGGACAAACAGCACUACUGCUGUAGAAUCAGCCGACCGCAAAGCACCUUCAGUUUGGAUAAACAACAUUGCGUCAAGGCCGACUGGUUAUCUAUCCAAGUCUCGAUCGAGAAGGGUUUUCGAAUCCUUAUUGGCAGAGGUUAUCUCACUAGCCUUCUCGGCAAAGUGAGGUGUUACGAAUCACUAAACUCGGCGCAUUGAACACUGAGUUGUUUUAUGAUUGGAUACUCACAAGUUAGGUUUAGAGUUCGGCAUUCUGACGGCCGAAUCACAUUUACGAUUAAGACGUACAUCUGCUUUGAAUAUUUGUGUCCAUAUAGUCUGGUGUCGAUUCGGCGUGCUUAUACUCUUACGAAUAUAAUCACCGUGACCGAAUCCGACACCGACGAUUUGUGCACUUCUUAGAACUAGCAUCCUUAUCUUCAGGCUUUAGAACCCAAAGGCCGAGACGUGUUCCUUCCUUGGCCACAAUCGUAAGAUCAAGAAGUCAGCAACGCAUCCGACAUAACAGCAACAAAUUUUACUCACCGGCCGAGCUCGACCGUCGAGUUGGCACGCCCCACACACAACCGAAUGACGUAGUUAGCUCAUUAAUUACUCGGCUUGCGCGCCACGUAGGUUUGGUAGUUUUUAGGGUCAACACAACCACAAUCAUAAGUCCCAACAGUCACCUUAAAGCAUGUCCACCCCUAAAAAUGUGUUGGCAUCCAACCCAUUUAAUCCACUCAAAUGAAUAGUGAUUAACCCCAAUGAACAGUAAUUGACCAAAUGCAUCUCCACAUCUAAAAAAUGCACUGGCACAAAAUCUAAAAAAUGCUCUGGCACAAAUGCAUCUCCACCCCUAAAAAAUGUGCUAGCACUCUGCCCAUUAAAGUAUUAUUAAUUUUUUUACAAAAUAAUAAAAACAAUAGUUUUAAUUUCAUAUAGGAUUUUUAACCAAUCUUGUCAUGCCACGUGUCAUUAUCCGAAAGUACUAUUUUGUGGAUAGAUUUCCGAUAAGAUUUUCAAUCAAUCCCGACACGACACGUGUCACUUUCUGUUUACAAUAAUUUAGCCAAGAUUUCGAUAAGAUUUUCAACCAAUCUUGUCACACCACGUGUCAUUAUUCGAAGAUACUAUUAUGUAGAUAGAUUUCCAAUAAGAUUUUCAACCAAUCCUGACGCGUCACUUGUCACUUUUUGUUUACAAUAAUUUAGCCAAAAUUUCAAUAAGAUUUUCAACCAAUCACGUAGUGCCACUUGGCAUUAUCCAAAACCUCAUCCUUUUUUUUUUUUUUUUUUUUUUGUCCUUAUAAACCCUACAUUCAUCUUAAUUCAUACACCAAACUCAAUCCUUUAGUUCAGAAUCUUUCUUCAUUGUUUUUAAAUCUUGAGUUCUUACAAUGUCUUCUUCAAGGAGAUUGUAUGAAAUCGAUGAGCAACAGAAAAAAUUGUUGGCACAGCAGGAAGAAUUGUUCAAUCUCGAGGAAGAUAGAUAUGAGGCUUUCGCAAUGGAAGAGGAUAAGGAUGAUGAACAUAUUGUCACCUGAUCCGCUAAACUUCUCCCACUACUCAGAUUAGUGGAAGCAUGAGAGAGAGCGUUUUUCCAGUAAGUAAGCGAGUUGUUGAGUUUUUUCCAACGACCUUGAAGACCUUGACUACUUCUUGUGUCUUUUCCAAGCCUAUCGCAAAACGUUUUAGUAAUUCUACUCCACAUUUCUCGCAACUCCAUCUCCUUACCCAUAAUUAGGUCAUGAGUAAUUUGAGCCCAGCAUUGACACAACGUAACAUAUUCGAUGAACUUCCACGUAGCCAUUUUUUUCACAAAAAAGUAUAUGAAAGCUUUGGUUGAAAGUGUUGAAAAUAUUUUAUUAAUUUUUAUUAAGUUAAUUAAUUUGGAUAGUUAGAUUUGAAAAAUAUUCAAAUCCAACAGCCUAAAUGUGGACACAUGGCCAACGGUCAUAAUUCUAACAGUUUUGUGUAUAUAUAUAUAUUUAUUUAUUUUUACAUUUUUUGGGCGAAAAUCGUGGGUCGUUGAUCUUGAGAUCGAACGGCCCAGAACGUGCCACGUCACUAGCCGUUGGGUUUGAAUUUCAAAUUUUUUUACCGUUGGAAAUCCAAUGGCCCAGAACAAGCCACGUGGCUUCUCCCACUCCCUUCUGUUGCCCCUGCAACGGCGGGCCCCGCCGCCUUUUUCCUAUUAGGAACGCGCUCAUGUUUCCCAACUGCCUGACGUAAAAAAUAAAAUAAAAAUUAUAGUGGCAUGUGAUGUCAUUUCGACACCAACGUGAAGUCACAUAGCCCAGCACAUUUUGAACUGACCUAGAAGCUGGCUUGGACUAGAUGCCAGCCUAUUUCGAUCAGCUAGAGAAGUUUUAAGAGGUACCAGCCUAUUUUUCCCACUUUGAACCAGUCCAUGUGCUUGGGCUGGAGUUGCUCUUAUGAAAAUUGGCCGGUGAUGUUUGCACCACAUUCUAGAUUCUUGAAUUCCGUUUCCCCACCUUAUUUAAUAGACUGUUUUUAUUUCAUUUACUUUCCAUUUUUUAUUAAGAACCAAGGCAAUUAUAUAUACUUUACUAGUUUUAACUUUUGACACAACAGAUAAUGACAGGAAAAUGGAAGACAUGAUAUUAAAAGUAAAUAUUCUUUACUCUUUGAGCUACUUAUUCUAAGCUCAUUAUGCAUAUGUGCGCAACUCCCAAGAAUAAAAUGAUCUACCAAACUCACUAGCAUUACUUGAGCUACACAUGCUUUGUUUGCUAUGUUGGGUGGCCUCAAAUUUGAUUAUUAUGAAUAACGAGUUUGAUACCUAAUUAUAAUGAUUAACUCACUAUGUGAUUUAACAUAAAUCUCCAUCUCCGGUAUCAUUUGUAGACAAUGUUUUUGUAGGAAUACUUUCCAUACUCCAACCUCUUAUAAGCCCUUGCAAGGUUUCUUAUUUCACCAAUGAGACUCUUUUACAUCACAUUCUCACAUAAACCCUCUCAAAUUUAUCUUCAUCUCCAAACUCAUAAAACAUUUCCAAAGUAUAAUUAGUACAAUAAUCCAGUAGUAAUAUCUAAGAAAACGUUAAAAUCCAACGGCCUCAACUUAAAGGACUGAUGGAACAAAAUCAGAUCCAAACAUCGCACCACUGGGCCUAAACUGCAAAGACUAAUGUGAUCGAAAAUGUGAAUUCAGACCCAAAGACAAACUCAAAUGUCACAAUAUUAUUCUGACAAAACAAAACGACGAUAUUCUAGCUAGUGAACAUGAUUACAAAAUCCAAAGGACUAAGAUUUUCCAGAUGUCUAAAGUCCGAGUUAACCAGAAGCCGGGAUCUUUAUAUCACAUAGUCGCAACUCAUGUGGCUUAUAUGUCUUUCGCCUUAUUCAGAAAGCCAAUGUGCUCGUCUGUAAAUAAUUGGCUUUGGUUUUACAUUGUGCCCUGGUACAUGACUCACUCAUAAACUUUGAAUAAAAAUGAAAAAAAUAAAACGAGCCAAAACCACACGUAUACAAAAACCACUACACGUACAGCAUAAGAUUUUUGUUGAGAGCCAACAUGAUUUUGCUUAAUCAACAGCAUAAAUGCAGUUAGCAUUAAUCCGAACUAACUACAAAAAUGAUUAUCAUUAUAAAUAAGCAGGGGUGGUUCGGUAUGGAAUCUCAAACUAAAAAUAGGAUCCCGAAUCCUAAUCCAAAAAUUUUCAAGAUAGGAAUUUGAAGACUAAUCCCAAACUGAAAUUUCCGUAUCCUCAAUUUUCACGAAUCCCAAAAUGUUUUCGGUAUUUCAGGAUUGCGUUUUGGGUUUUGGGCUUUUGGGCAUAAAUUUGAGAUUUUUGCGUUGUGAACUAAAAUUUGAGCAUUUGGCUUAAGAUUUUGUUGGCCAAUUUCAUAUCAAUUAUAAUUUAGGUUUUUUACCUAUUACCAAUUUGAAAUUUCUUACCAAUUGAAAUACUAAAGCAUUCUUACCAAGUCAAAUUGACGUUCCAAGGUUCCAAACUACUUAAUUUCGUACUUCUAUUUGUAAUAAAGUCUACUCUUAAAUUCAACAUUCAAUAUGCUUGCAACCAAAAUAAAUAUACAUAUAUAUUUUGGUUCGGUUCAGGAUUCCCGAACAAUUGAAUGUGUAAUCCCGAUUCCCGUACCAAAAGGUUUGGGAUGAAUCCCAUAAAUUUCGGUAUUUUCAGUUUGAGAAUUUUUCAGUAUGGGAUCGGGGUUUUUUUUUUUUUUUUUGGUUUGGGAUUUUCGGAAAAUUUUCCAGCCCUAUAAAUAAGUGUCAAUAGUAUAAUCAAAAUGAAUAUUAAAUCAUAAUUUUUUUUUUAUUUACAAAUGAUAGGGUUAGUGAGUUAAAUAUUUAGGUGUUAAAGAAGGACUAGAAUUGUCACUUAAUACUAUGGUUUAGUAGUAUUCAUUUUCACUUGUAUGUGAGAGGUCUUAUGUUCGAUUCUUGCCAAAGACGAAGUUGAACCUCAUUAUUAUGGCAAACUCAUUGUAAGGCUUAGCCCACUAUCCUAUCUUCUUAGUGUAGAUACUAUCAUUUGUACAAAAAAGAAAGAAGAAGUAGAAUCAAUGAGGAUAGGAUCGUACUAGAGUACAUAAACAUGAUUGUUUUCCGUCACUGCAUAAACCGGCAUCUACAUUAAAUAAAAAAUUAUACAAAAAAAAAUGAAUGAAAAGAAGCUGGAAAAAUUUAUAAUUAAUUAUAGGAGCUAUAUUGACAAGUCCAACAUAAAAUUAGAAAAAUAAAGUGGAUUACACCGUGAAAAUGACCCCUUAUAUUGCAUUGACAAGUCCAUGAAAGCCAAUUUCAUCAUUGCCCAUUGGCUAUGAAACGUGGGCUACUUAACCUAAAACCAAGGAAGAUAAUAUCGUUAUUUUUACAUAGCGAUAUUUUCAACGUUUACACUUAAUUAUCGUAAUAAUAUCGCUAAUAUCGAUAAUAUCGCGAUAUUAGCGAUAUUAUCGAUAUUAGCCAUAAUAUCGCCGAGGAUCCUCCGUCGUCAUCGCAACGGCAGCCGAUGAAGAAAUGGGGGGGAGAACCGAAGAAGAAACAAGGAGAGACUGAGGGAGAAGGUGAGUUGGUGCGAUGGUGUGCGUGUGUGUAUGUGAGUCUCGGACCCUCGGUGCAGAGAGAAAUGAGAUGGAGAAGGGGGAGAAGGGAGAAGGGGGAGAAUGAGUCUCGGACCUUGGGUCUCUGUGCGUGUGUGUGGGAGAAUGGAGAAGGGGGAGAAGGGAGAAGGGGGAGAAGGGAGCUCAGAGAAAGAGAAGGAUCGAGAGAGAAUGAAAUGAUGGUUCGAAUGAGAGAUGGAGAGCCGUUCGGCUCAGGAGUCAAGGAAUUGCAGAGGUCCUUUUUCAUUUUUUCACAAUUAAAAAAAAAACAAAGGAAUAGACAUAAAGAGCCGUUUGGCUCCGGGUUUGAUGCAAAGAAGAGAGCCGUUGGCUCGGCUCUGGGCUCGAGGCAGAUGGAUGCAUAGCAUCCAAUGUGAGAUCAAAACCGCAGCUAGGGUUUUAUGGUGCACGUGUGUGCAUGCAUGUGAGCUGCAAUUGGGCUGCCUUAUUCAACUUGUAAGUUUCUCGAGGCCCAGGUCAAAAUUUUCAAGGCUUCUUUAUUGGCUGCCCGUCAAUCAUGGCCCAUUGUUCAGAGCUUUUUGUUCCUCAUCUUCCUGAGUUCGACACACCAGGUCUUUUUUUUUUUUUAAUUUUUAUUUUAUUUUUCUGUUAAUUCAUUCUCUGUUAGUUAUUUUCUUUCAUUUUUAUUUUCAUGUUUUACAUAGUUUAGUUUAUCUUAGUUCCAGUUUUUUUUUUAGAUUGUUCUUUCUUUUCCACACCUUGAGGACAAUGUGUGAUUUAAGUUUGAGGGUGGGAGAUAAGAAAUUUUAGGUUUUUAAUUUUUGUGUCAAGUUAAAAAUUUUCGUUUUUAAGUUAAUAUCCAUAGUUUAUUUUAAGCGUUAGAACAAAUGGACAAGGUGAAGGUUAAUUCCAUAUUAAAGUCUUUUCUAUUUAUCGUCAAUUAAACAUUAAUUCACGAAUUAUACUUUGAAAAUUUGCAUUAUAUAUAAAUGAUUAUGGUGUGUUUAAACUUCUUUCAUUAAUUACUACAUAUUUUCUACACUCAUAAUGUUUGCCAGCUCGCUAUAUAAUCAACUUAAAUCAGUUAAAUCCAUCAUGCAAUGCAUUUCCUUCCAAUUUUUUGUGAUAAACUAAUAGAUAAUUGACUAAAUAAACAUCCUGCAAAGUUUCGAUAAAAAUUUCCAAGUUUUUCUUACAAUUUCCAUGGUUUCCAUGUAAUUUUUAUCAAUAUCGAUAUUAUCCCGAUAUUUCCAUCGAUAUUUCCGUGUUUUCGGACUACCGAUAUUUCCGAUAUUACCGAUAUUUUCUUCCUUGCCUAAAACUAACAUAAGUCUUCCACCGCAUAAAAUCUUAUUAAACCAAUUUAAUAAGCUCCAAUUAAAUUGUGACAAAUCUGAAGGUCCUAAUAAUUAAUCACAGUCUUAAAUGAAACCACCGUUACCUCACCUACCCUUCCUUUUCUUUUUAUUUUUCUUGAUUACUUUUUCACAUUAAUAUUCUUUUAUUUCUGAGUUGACUCCUACAAGCAUUAUCAAAAUGUAAGAGUCCGGUUAUCCACGGGCUAUAAAUACAUAUGAUAUGACGCUGCAUUAAACCAAGAAACUAGUCGCAGGUUUCUUCUUCUCUAUUUGCUUCUUAGUUAUAUUGGUUAUCAGUGAUAAGCGCAAAUUAUUCAAUCUAUUUUACCUUGAGAAUGACAUUUUCCUAUGAUAUGUUUGAUUUAAAUGAAAGGAAUUGCAUGUUCUUUAUGUGUUGAUGGCCAAAUUAAGGAGAUGAAAAAGAUCUUAUUAUUUUCCUUUUUUUGUGUUAGUCACACACGUUGGCUGGCAUAUUGUCCAUGUUGUGAUAUGUUUUAUCAUAAUAAUGUUAUGUAGUAUGACCAAUUAAGAGAGAAGUAGAGCAUUUGUCUCACAUAGGAUUCUUCCUUAUGCUUUUCAUCAGCACGUGACUAGCACAAGUAAGGGCUGGCCUACUUUUCAUUCAAACCGACAGAAGAAAGGCAAGUCCAUCUUUAAUCCAAUUUUUCUGGAGCUCCAGCCGCCGACACUCUAGCAGCAGAGGAAGAGAUUUCAAUCGAGGAAAGAUCAAAGAAAGAUGGAGAAUCAAUCUCUUAAUUCCAUCUUCAAGUCAGAGGUCUUCACCAAGAGUAUAAAUACGAGAAUUUGGAAGCUGAGUUGGUUCAAUUGGUGUGGGGAUUUGAUCACUUUCAGAAUUAGAGGACGUCCAUUUGGGAAAAAUACGAUUAUCGUUUCGAAACAACCAGGGAAACGAAGAGGGCAAUAUGAAGGCUAUACCUGCAGCGAUUAAACCCAAGACCCACAAGGUAAUAAAUUGGUGAUUAAGUCUCUGUCGGUUACGGAGAAGAAAGAAGGAUGAAGAAGAGGGAAGACAAAGAAACAAAAAGGAACGGCUGGGAGUUUUGUUUUGGUAUUAAGGUAUCAGCAAUGGGGCUAAACAUUAAUGAGGAUUAAAAACGGGAGUACACGGAGAAGCAAUCAUAUCAUUCAAGGAGAAAAAGGAGCGGCUGCUUGGUAUUAAUUUGGCAAUAUUAAGCAGAUCAUAAAGGAGAGCAAAAAAAAACUAGGCAGUAAGAGAGCACAAAGGAGAAGAAGGCAGCGGCAGAGCAUGAGAUUUUCAGGCUUUUCUAAACUUAUUUUUCUUUUAAUUUUAUGAAUUCAAUAAUAUUUCUGAUUAUGUUCAGGAACUAAUUUCUUUUCGCUAGGGCUACGAUGUAGCCUAACUAUGAAUUCUUAAUUUCUCAGUUUAAUUAUUUAUGAAUUUUCAUUCAAGUUGAGUAUCAUUUUGCUGUGCUUAUGAGCUUGAUUUUAAUCUUAGUGAUUGGCCACCACUUUGGUUUGAGUUGAGUGUAUUUGAUGCGAAGUAACAUAGAUGCCAUGUUGUUAAUUCGGUUUUAGUGUCUUGCAAAUGGUACCAUGAAUUCCUUGAUGUAGAUGCCAUACACUAGGUUUCAUGCGGUCUCUAAAGUAGUUCUCAAAUCGUUAAUGAACUCAUGUGUGUUUCGUAAUCUAGAUGCCAUAGAUUGUUAGCACAUAUGAGUAUACAUAGUAAUCUAGAUGUCAUGAAUGCUAUAUGAAUUAGAGGAAUUAGACCGUCAAUUUGGAUGAUUACUCAUUAAUAAUUAAUUGUAGGAAUUGAGUUGGAUUGGUUAUGGUGAAUCGGAUGCUCUAGUGUCUUUCGCAAUUGAUUUAUAAUUUGAUUUCUUUGUUGUUCUUGUCAUUUAUUUAAGCUCAUUUGAUUUUUGUUUACAUUUACUAUUUCAAAGUUCUUUCUCAAAUCAUCAAUUUUUCCAUUUCAAUUCAAGUGCAAUAUAAAUUAAGUUAAUAAGAUAAAAUUAUUUCAAUCUUAGUUGGAACGAUCUUGUGCUUACCUACUAUACUACUUAACGAUUCGUACACUUGUGAGCAUUAAAAUUUGGACUUAAUUGGAUUGAUUUCGGAUAAUCUAAUUUUGGCAACAAUCAAAAACCUAGCAUUAGUCAUGGGUUCAUAUCAUACUGGUUCAUGUACUCCCACAAUCACUAAAAUGUCAUUGUCAUUAAUUUUCCGUCUUGUUGGAGUAGCUUCUGGUCAGUUGUCCUCUACUUUCUAUGAAACAUCGUGUCCUAAUGCCUUGUCCACCAUUUGUCCACCAUAAAAUCGGCGGUGAACUCAGCGAUGUCGAAGGAAGCUCGCAUGGGAGCUUUCUUGCUCCGUAUUCAAUUCCAUGAUUGUUUUGUUAAUGCAAGGGAUCAUUUCUACGUACUACAUCUCUUUAACUUCCCGCCUAAUGAUUUUCUUUCAUAUAUAAUUAUUAUCUUUCACCUGCAUGCAUGCAUGCUCGUGAAUUCUUUUAUACCUGCUUGAAGAGAGAAAGAAUGAAGAUAGUACGAAUUCCCAAUCACUCCUCUUUCUUUUAUUUGUUUAUUUCUUUUAUUUAUUUGAGGAAAUUCCAUGAUUUUGUUUUCCUGUCUUGGACAUUUUUUUUUCAAAAUUAAGGACAAUUGUAUUAAGGGUACAAAUGUAAUACAGUACAGUUAGUAAGUUGGUUAGAGUAGUUAGACUUUCUCUUAUAAAAACGGUUGUGUAACCUUCAUUCUAUCAAUCAAUACAAAAGCAUAUUUCUCUCUCUAAAUCUCUCUCUCUCUCAAACUCUCUGUAUUGAUCUUUCUUCUCUUCAUCUUUCUUCUUGAUUUUCUUUCAAUUCCCAAAUAUUACAAUGUAGUUAACAUGGUAUCAGAGCCACCAGGCUUACGCCAUUGAUUCUGGUGGUUCCGUAUUUUCUUUUAGAUUUCUUUUUCUAGUUUUAUUUUCUCUUCAGAUUUUCUUGAAUUUUUUCGUCUAAGUUCUUUGGUGUUUCCUUCUUCUCUCUGAUCCAUGAAUCGGAGAAGGAAGCAGAAUCAAGUUCUUACUCAGUUUUUUUGUGGAUGCGAAUCGACUGAAAAACGUCGUCACUGACCUCGCCGAUUUCAACUGGGUCCGGAUGACAGUUGGGUUUGCGGAUCUGGGUUGCCGAUUUCAAUGCCGUGAUAAUCUUUUCCAGUUGCAGCGGCAAUACCGAUCAGAGCCGUACUCUCGCCGAGAUGCGAGUCCUCCUCUCUGAUCCUCAAGAUCUGGCUGUGCAGCACGCACCCCGUCUUCUUCCGACCGAAGCAUUGCAUGGACUCGAUAGCUGGGGCCGCCAUGGUGUUGCUCUCUAGGGUUUGGGGUCUUUUUCAGCCAUUUCUGAAUUUCAAGAUUCUUCAUUUCAAUAUCAAUGUUCGUGAUAUUUGGGAUAUUUGGAUUCAAGAAUAUUGGUUAUUGCUGGAUUGUGCAAUUUGUAUGAUGGUGUCCAGUUCUAUCUCUGCUUCAUUGGAAUUCUGCUCUGUUUCUCUUGUUGGGUUUGAUGUUUCUGCAAAUCUUGAUAUGUUUGGAGAAAUGGGUAUGGAUUCUUGGGUUUGAUUGCUACUAAUAUCUUUAGGGUGUUCAUUGUCGAAUUACUCAGGAAGUUUGCAGUAUCUAAUUAUUGUCUCUCUGCUUCACUGAUUUUCUGCAAUUCUGUUGAGGAGUUUGUGCAGUAAUUUUCUCUUAUCUCAGCCUAUAAUGUCGAGUCUAACCAACUCAAUUGUUAGCAUGAAUCUACAGUAAGUCCGAUUAUACGAUAAAGUUUGAAGAAGUUGAUAACGGUAAAUCCCACGAAGGGUAAUUCCGUGAUGUGAAUAGGUAAAAAUCCCACGAAGGGUAGAAGAAGUUGUUAAUGGUAAAUCCCACGAAGGGUAAUUCCAUGUUAUGAAUAAGUAGUGUUGUGAAUUGGUAAAUCCACAAAGGGCGAUCCCGUGGACAUUAGUGUAGUGUAGUUUAGUAUUGGCAGAAAGCCAUUAGAAAUGGACAUGAAGUCAUUAGUACUUGAAGAUUGUUGGCACGAAGCCAUUAGAAGUUGAAAUUUGUUGGCACGAAGCUGUUAGUAAGUAGUUUUGAUUGUGGGCAAGAAGCCAUUGUUAAAAGAAGUUGUUGACAGUAAAUCCCACGAAGGGUAAUUCUGUAAGAAAUUAUUAUAAUCGGCCUGAGGAUGUGUUACAAUUUUAUUCUAUUUGGUUUGCAAUAGCUACAGAGGUGUCGACAUCAGUUUGUGGUGCUGAAAUUCUUUGGAAAUAACCAAUAUGCAAUUGCGCAGUUUAGUGAUGCCAGUCAAUGCUGGAGAAGUUUGAGUCAAUAGCAAAGCGAUGCUAAACAAUGAUGGAAAGGUUUGAGGCAAAAGCAAUGUGAUGUCAAAAGAUUCAAGUUCGCAGAGAGGGUUGUUGCUUUGGAAGUGGCUGUGGCUGGCGGGACCAAGGUUUUCGAUAAGGAAUUUGGUGUGUCAACAGAGUUGCUCAUGAGACUUUGUUGUGGGAUUGCAAGAUUGCAGAUGGUUCAACAUUGUGUUCAGUGAUUGUAGAUGUUUUUCCAAUCUCAAACUGGGUUAACCCAGUUGAGAUUGAGGGGGAGUAUUAAGGGUACAAAUGUAAUACAGUACAGUUAGUAAGUUGGUUAGAGUAGUUAGACUUUCUCUUAUAAAACGGUUGUGUAACCUUCAUUCUAUCAAUCAAUACAAAAGCAUAUUUCUCUCUCUAAAUCUCUCUCUCUCUCUCUCAAACUCUCUGUAUUGAUCUUUCUUCUCUUCAUCUUUCUUCUUGAUUUUCUUUCAAUUCCCAAAUAUUACAAUGUAGUUAACAAAUUGGACAGUUUUUUCUGAGUCUUGUAGAAGAGUAAAAAAGAAGUUGGAAAAGAAUAGAGUUGUAAUUGCUGUCUUUGUCAUCUACAAUUAUAAAGUGGAAGAUAAAGUAAGAGAAAUACAAUUUUUUUAAAGUGCUAUUCACACAUCAAUUUUUAAUUCUUACAUCCUUUUAUUAAUUUUUUUUUGUCAAAUUUUUUUUUAAUUCAUUCAAUUUAAAGGUUAAAAAUUAAGAAGAGUGAAAAGUAAAAAUAGGCGUGUAACUAGCGCUAUCCUAUUUUUUAACACUCAGUUGGACAACCAAAAUCUUGGACAUUUUUAUUCGUUGUUCAUAAAUUAUUUUAUUUUCUAUUUCUGUUUUAAUUUUUAACCAUCCGAUAAUCUAAUUUGACUUCUUGUUUUCUCAUUCUUCGCGGGCCACGCAUUCAACUGAGCUUUUUGUGCCGUAGUGCCAAAAAAAUAGUGAAUCUGCGCGUAUACAUAUUAGGACAAAAAAAGAAGUCAUGUUCUCACAGAAAAGGUAGACGAGUUUGAAUAACAAAUGUGAACUGUGCAUGCAGGGAUGUGAUGCUUCGGUUCUGCUGGAUGACACACCCAAUUUCACUGGAGAGAAAACAGCAGCUCCUAAUGCUAAUUCUUUGAGGGGAUUUGAUGUAAUCGAUACAAUUAAAUCACAAUUGACGCGUAUCUGCCCCAAAGUGGUCUCUUGUGCUGACAUCAUAACCGUUGCUGCUCGGGACUCUAUUGUUGCAGUAAGUAAAAAACGCUACUAAUAAUCAACUGUUAUUGAGGCUCCGAAAAGAAUUAUCAUGCAUUUCUUUAAGUCUAAUUUUUUUUAUUUGUUUAGAGUGUUAAUUGUAAACACGAAAUUCUUACAAAAAAAUGAUACAAUAACAUGUGUACAAAACAAUGAUUGUAAUAAUGUAGAACUAUGGUUUCAAUCUCUAUUUACAAAAACUUGAAUCCUCUUAUUCGAUCUCUGGGAUUAUAGAGUGUAUGUGUAGGAUUGUUGAUCCAAGUUUCGCAAUGACUGAUCUCGGAUGAGCGGAUGUUGCAAGGGUUUGGCUUGUGGCGAUGGAAGAACAGGCACGUGUAAUGGUGAUUGAUGAUUCUUCAUGGAUGUGACGAAGAACACAGAGAGCCUUAUGAGUGUUUGGUAGAAUCUGGGGCUUGAGAGUUUGAGCGUCUGGGUGUGAGAAUGAAUUUCUUUGGCCCCAUUCUUUGUCUUAGAGCCUCGUAUUUAUAGGCUCUCCAAGUCUUGCCUACGGCUGGAAUUGGCCUGAAUUGUGGACUUGAUUCAUCGACGAAAAAACCAAUACUUGAUUUAGAGCUUGGUUCGUGAUUUGACUUCAUCAAAUAAUCAAUAACAUUUAAAUUUAAAUCAAUUAAUUUGUUUGCUUUAAAUUAAAAUUAAUCAAAGAACUAAUAAAAAUAAUUCAUUAAUUAAUUUCCGUCAAAUGUCCAAAAGUGUCACUCUUGAUGACUCAUCUAGUUUUGACAAGUCACAUGUAUUGUGUACGAUUCGAGAGAUACAUGGUGCAUGCCACGUAAGCCUUGGCAUGUUGAUAUUUAAUGUGUUGGUAAACAUUUAUUUCACCAAAAUUUCAGUGUCUACACUAUCUUAAAGACUUCCCUCUAUAAUUUGUGAUCGUUAAAUCUCACUUUGUGUUAUGGUAUAACAUUCAAUUGUUUAAACAGUUGGGCGGACCUGCCUAUACAGUGCCUUUCGGCAGAAGAGACUCCACCACAGCUAGCUUAAGUGCUGCCAAUUCCAAUAUACCCGCUCCCACAUUGAAUCUU